AUACGGAGGGUGCAAGCGUUGUUCGGAUUUAUUGGGCGCAAAGCGAGUGUAGGCGGUUUGACAAGUCGAAUGUGAAAUCCCGAGGCCCAACCUCGGAACUGCAUCCGAAACUGUCAGGCUAGAGUCCCGGAGAGGAUGGUGGAAUUCCCGGUGUAGGGGUGAAAUCCGUAGAUAUCGGGAGGAACACCAGUGGCGAAGGCGGCCAUCUGGACGGUGACUGACGCUGAGACUCGAAAGUGUGGGUAGCAAACAGGAUUAGAAACCCUUGUAGUCC
rnacentral:rRNA from 1 species